CCCCUCUCAGGAUCCAACUUGGAGAGUUUCCAGUACUCUACCAGUCUCAACCAAGAGAGGGAGAAUCAAGCAGAGGGAUACCUAUUCCAUUCUUAGCUUCGGCAGUGGCUAGUGAGUGGGAGACAAUCUGCUACAAGU